CUACGGGUUGCUGCAGUGAGGAAUAUUGGUCAAUGGAGGCAACUCUGAACCAGCCAUGCCGCGUGAAGGAUGACGGCCCUAUGGGUUGUAAACUUCUUUUGAAUAGGAAGAAACUUAUCUACGUGUAGAUAACUGACGGUACUAUUAGAAUAAGGAUCGGCUAACUCCGUGCCAGCAGCCGCGGUAAUACGGAGGAUCCAAGCGUUAUCCGGAUUCAUUGGGUUUAAAGGGUCCGUAGGCGGGUCUUUAAGUCAGUGGUGAAAGCCGACAGCUCAACUGUCGAACUGCCAUUGAUACUGGAGACCUUGAGUACAAAUGAAGUAGGCGGAAUGAGUCAUGUAGCGGUGAAAUGCAUAGAUAUGACUCAGAACACCGAUUGCGAAGGCAGCUUACUAACAUGUAACUGACGCUGAGGGACGAAAGCGUGGGGAGCGAACAGGAUUAGAUACCCUCGUAGUC
rnacentral:rRNA from 1 species